CUAAGAUGUGUUGUAAUCGUUUUCUCUUCGGAAACCUUCAAUGUCGCAAUUCUGGCUGUUGCUGGGUCGAAGUUCGAGGCGAUCGAUGGACAGAAUGUGACAAUAUCCUUCCACAUCGAUGAAGUGGAGAAAGCAGAUGAAGUGAAGAUUUCUUUUAAAAAAGACCGCAAUGAAAAAAAGCCCUUUGUUAUUGCGCAGAAGCCUUGGGUCUAUGAUGAUCCUCCCUCACCUGGAGUUACACUGAUAGUUGGAAAAGAUCGUUUAUCUUUAAUCAUUGAAGAUGUGAACAUCUCCAGAUCAGGACUCUAUAAAGCAGAAGCCUACACUGGAGCAAAAGUGUGUGAGGAUAAUGCUACACUUGUGGUCAACAAAGCUCCAGUUUCCUCCAGUAUAUCUCCUCCACACUCCUCCUCCAGCCCAAACCCUCCCAGCUCCUCUCAACUACACUGGCUUUAUGCUUUAAUAACUGCAUUCAUCUUCAUCAUCAU